rnacentral:rRNA from 1 species
GACGAACGCUGGCGGCGUGCUUAACACAUGCAAGUCGAACGGAAAGGCCCUGCUUUUGUGGGGUGCUCGAGUGGCGAACGGGUGAGUAACACGUGAGUAACCUGCCCUUGACUUUGGGAUAACUUCAGGAAACUGGGGCUAAUACCGGAGAGGAGCUCCUGCUGCCUGGUGGGGGGUGGAAAGUUUCGGCGGUUGGGGAUGGACUCGCGGCUUAUCAGCUUGUUGGUGGGGGAGUGGCUUACCAAGGCUUUGACGGGUAGCCGGCCUGAGAGGGUGACCGGCCACAUUGGGACUGAGAUACGGCCCAGACUCCUACGGGAGGCAGCAGUGGGGAAUAUUGCACAAUGGGCGGAAGCCUGAUGCAGCAACGCCGCGUGCGGGAUGACGGCCUUCGGGUUGUAAACCGCUUUCGCCUGUGACGAAGCGUGAGUGACGGUAAUGGGUAAAGAAGCACCGGCUAACUACGUG